CAGCAGCCGCGGUAAUACGAAGGGUGCAAGCGUUACUCGGAAUUACUGGGCGUAAAGCGUGCGUAGGUGGUGGUUUAAGUCCGUUGUGAAAGCCCUGGGCUCAACCUGGGAAUUGCAGUGGAUACUGGGUCACUAGAGUGUGGUAGAGGAUAGUGGGAUUUCCGGUGUAGCAGUGAAAUGCGUAGAGAUCGGAGGGAACAUCUGUGGCGAAGGCGACUAUCUGGGCCAACACUGACACUGAGGCACGAAAGCGUGGGGAGCAAACAGGAUUAGAGACCCCCGUAGUCCCUGUCUCUUAUAC
rnacentral:rRNA from 1 species